UGGCGACCGGCGGAAGGGUGCGUAACGCGUGAGCAACAUACCCUAUACAGGGGGAUAAGCCAGGGAAACUUGGUCUAAUAUCCCAUAGGAAAUAGAUAAGGCAUCUUGUUUAUUUUAAAGCUUCGGUGGUAUAGGAUUGGCUCGCGUGACAUUAGCUAGAUGGAGGGGUAACGGCCCACCAUGGCAAUGAUGUCUAGGGGUUCUGAGAGGAAGAUCCCCCACACUGGGACUGAGACACGGCCCAGACUCCUACGGGAGGCAGCAGUGAGGAAUAUUGGACAAUGGAUGGAAAUCUGAUCCAGCCAUGCCGCGUGCAGGAAGAACCGGCCCUAUGGGUUGUAAACUGCUUUUAUACGGGAGCAAUAAGGUCUAUGCAUAGAUUGAUGAGAGUACCGUAUGAAUAAGCAUCGGCUAACUCCGUGCCAGCCGCAGC
rnacentral:rRNA from 1 species